rnacentral:misc_RNA from 1 species
CUGACAUUCCUGGUAAUGUUGAGAAUGUCAGGAACCUUUUAAAUCAUCCAGCAUUUGACCUGCGCAAUCCAAACAAGGUAUACUCGCUCAUUGGAGGAUUUUGCAGUUCUCCUGUGAAUUUCCAUGCAAAGGAUGGAUCAGGCUAUCAGUUCUUAGGCGAGAUAGUGGCGCAAUUAGACAAAAUUAAUCCUCAGGUGGCCUCC